ensembl:lncRNA
UGGACUGGUGAUCUAUGGAGCUUGGGAUGAUUGAGUAUUCUUCCCAGAUAGAAGGAGAUGAGCCAAGAGGGUAGGGCUAGCCAUGCCUACGACUGGACUUUAGGAAGCAAAGGAUACAGUGAUUGGGGGACCUCCUGUGAAAAAGUCUUGGGGAAUGGAAGUUCUGACUCCAGCAUAACAGCUGAAGCUGGGGAUUGGCCUGACCCAGCUCCACUGGGAAAAGGAGCUUUAUUCAUAACUACCCAAACAUGGAAGCAACCGAGAUGUCCCCCAAUAGGCAAGAAGAUACAUAAACUGGGAUACAUCAAGGCAAUGGGAACGCCAUUCAGCAACAAAAAGAGAUGAACUACAGAGACAUGAGGAGAACCCCAAAUGCAUAUUACUGGCUGAAAGAAGACAUCUGAAAAGGUCACACACCAUAAACCCCAGUCAUAUAGGAUGCUACGGAGAAGACAAAAGUAUGGAGACAGCAAAAAGAUCAGCGGGUUGCCAGGAGUCAGGGUGGAGAGAGGGAAGAACCCAGGUGUUUCUCAUCCCAGGAUUCCCCUGCAAUCCUGGUAGAACACCGAGAUCCCGAGAGAUCCUGCAAGAUUGUGCUGCUUCUGCCAAGAGUGGUUGCAGCAGCAGCGUCUGGGGUCUGAUUCCACCAUUUUCUGAGCCACCCUUGAAACUCAGCACAAGUUUUUUGGAUUUUAACCAUUCGAAUAUGUAUAUGGAAGUAUCACAUUUUUAUUUUAAUUGGCAAUUCCCUAAUGACAAAUGAUUUUGUGCCUUUUUUACUUGGGCCGUUUGUUUUUCUAUUGUUGAUUUUAAAGGGUUCUUUGUGUAUUUUGGCUAUAAGUCCUUUAUCAGAUAUAUAUUUUCCAAAUAUUUUCUCUGGAUCUGUGUCUUGUCUUUUCAUUCUCUUAAAAGUGCUUUUGCAGAGCAGAGAUUUUUAAUUUUAAGGAAGUCCAACAUCACUUUCUUCUUUCAUGAGUUGUGACUCAGUUUCUCUUCUUUAGUGAUUUGCCUUUCUCCAUCGCCUC